UACGAAGGGGGCUAGCGUUGCUCGGAAUCACUGGGCGUAAAGCGCACGUAGGCGGAUUGCUAAGUCAGGGGUGAAAUCCUGGAGCUCAACUCCAGAACUGCCUUUGAUACUGGCGACCUUUGAGUCCGGGAGAGGUGAGUGGAACUGCGAGUGUAGAGGUGAAGUCGUAGAUAUUCGCAAGAACACCAGUGGCGAAGGCGGCUCACUGGCCCGGUACUGACGCUGAGGUGCGAAAGCGUGGGGAGCAAACAGG
rnacentral:rRNA from 1 species